rnacentral:lncRNA from 1 species
ACAGUGCCCUGCUCAGAAGCCCCGGGCUCGUCAGUCAAACCGGUUCUCUGUUUGCACUCGGCAGCACGGGCAGGCAAGUGGUCCCUAGGUUCGGGAGCAGAGCAGCAGCGCCUCAGUCCUGGUCCCCCAGUCCCAAGCCUCACCUGCCUGCCCAGCGCCAGGAUGGCCACCAUCACCUGCACCCGCUUCACGGAAGAGUACCAGCUCUUCGAGGAAUUGGGCAAGGGAGCCUUCUCGGUGGUGCGAAGGUGUGUGAAGGUGCUGGCUGGCCAGGAGUAUGCUGCCAAGAUCAUCAACACAAAGAAGCUGUCAGCCAGAGUGAGAGGGCCCAGCGGGAUCUGCUUGUAGAGGUGAAGUCGGCCAUUUAGUCUGGCUAGAGUAUAGGGCCUGAGGAACAGGCCUGGAGGAGUCUCGGAGAAGCCUCACAUUUAAGAAUCAUGGAAACGGAGGCCAGAGAGGGCGAGGGAUGUGCUUGAGUCACUGCAACCCAGGCCUCUUCCUCUUUCCACUGCACCCCAUGGUCUUCCUGGAGAACUCAGAGGCCCUGGCCAGAA